UGGCAGUACUGUUUAAUGAACAAAACCAUCUCUGUUUGAAUUAUGGACAACUCGCCAACAAUUUGCAGUCCAUAAAAAUACUUUUGGAUAUAAGUUGUUCAUCAGUUCAUCAGAGAUAUUUCCAUGCUUUAGCUGGGCAGCUAACUUAGAACAAGUUACUUAUUCAGCAGGUUUUGUCAUAGCUCUGGGAAUGGCAUUACUCUGGGAAUGGGGAAGAGAUGGAUAAAAUGAGUUAUAUUACCUUCAAUGCUGCCCCUUGCAGACUAUAAGCUUCUUAAAACCCUAUGAAAAGUGUAGGUUCCUCUUCUAAAGAGAAGAUUACCUGGGUGUUUUUGGUUUUGUUUGUUUGUUUUGUCUCCAGAUAUUCUUUAAGGAGUUGCUACAAGUUGUAAACCAACAUAUUUCUUUGCAUAUUAAAUCACCAGCUCAGGCAGAUUUUGAUCAGUGUCCCCUAGACACCCCACUGCACCAUCUGUACUGAAGACACAGCCCUUUAGUGUUCCCGGUCUGGGUUGCUGGGUUUGACAUUUUUAAUGAACCAGUUCUAAGAUGAAAUGUUUGCCUGUUUGCAAGCCAAGAUGGUAGAGUUAUUAAUUUGGUUGAACUGUACUGAUGAAUACAGUGAAGUGUUCUGGAAGCUCUUUCACUUUAGGUUUCCUCAAGCUCCCUGCAGCAUCGAAAGAAACGUCUGUACCUCAUUAUCUGCGUCCUUUCAGAUGCAGGUAGCGAUGUGCUGGAAUUCAGCAGCAGUGCUUGCGAUGGUAAAGCUUGCUUGUCAAGAUGGGCAUUGCAAAAGACCAUUCUUAAUGUGUGGAACUUGGCUACUCGCUCUUAAGUGAUGAGUCCAGCUAAAUUAAAUAUUGAUUAAAACGCUCUGCUUGCAACACCUCUAGCUUUAAACUCAGCGUGUAUUUUGUUUGUAUUGCAAAAAUAAAGUUGGAGUUUUAAUAAUGGAGUGAUUUGAAGACCAGCUACUGAAAGCAGAAAAAUUCUCCUGAGUGGUACGUUGGAAAGCAAGUGAAGGUAAAGCCAGCUCUCCGUAGGGAUGGGAGAGUGGGUGAGCCACCUCACCUGAGUAGAAAAUGGAAAGUCUAAACAAAGUAAACUAGAGGUGUCUUUCUGUAGGGAAGAGCACCAUCUGACUGGGAAUAAUGAAUUUAGAUCCUUUGAAACAUAAAAAUUUGGUUCUGUUGUUCCCUCACUCCUUCCUAAUAACACCCUACCUCAGGAGCUGUCAGUGACUCUGUCUUUAUUUUCCAGAUUCAUGUUUAUAUUCUGUUUAUAUUGAUCUGAGUGCCUUUUUGUGAGGAAUUAUAUUAUUCUGCAAUGUAUACUCUGUGAAUAUUAAGAAGGGGAAUCAUAAAUUCUGCAUUGUUUGCUUGAUUUACCUGCCAGGUAUGUUUUAUCCUCUUUUUAUCCUCUGUUCCAGCAAUGAAGAAGAAAGGCCUGUGUGCGCUCUGCACGUCACAGGCAGUGUAGUUUCAGAAAGACUGAUGAGCAUGAGAUAUAACCACAUAGUCUUCCACAGACCUUGCAAGUACUGGGUUAGGGAGAGGAAAUGACUCCUGUUCUAGCUGAUGGCAGUGCAGUGUUUAUGGAUUACCCCAAAUGCCUCUGUCAGUGCACGUAUGCAGUGUGCUUCUGGAGUUAUGCAGCAUAAAUGCCAUGGAUUAAAGUAAUUUUUGUUGAGCUUUUGGAUCAUAAAAUAAAGUGAAAUAGUGGCCCCACUGUAAUAUAUCUCCUUAACUCUUAAGCAGCAGAACUGAGUCCUGUACUCCAGAACUGGCUGAAGUAUUCAAACCUUAACUGGACAAGGUCCUGAGGCACCUGAUUUCAAUUGGACUUGCUUAGAGUGGGAGGAGGGAUGAGAAUAUUUCCAGGGUCUCUUCCAAACUAAAAGACUCUGAUGCUAAGGGGAAGGGCUGCUAAGGGAAAGUUCACCCCAGCUGCAAGUUACUGUUGCUGAUAUGAAACCAACCUACCAAUUGAGAGGGAUGUGAAAUGCUUUUCAUGCCAUCAAGGUCUUUCUAGGUUUUGUCUGGCUGGGCUUCUGUUUUUCUAAACAGUCACGAGAAAAUAUCAGCUAUUUGUCUGGUUAUGAAGUAUUGAACCUGAACCUGGAACUAUUCCAUCUAAGAGGGUGCCUUGAUCUUCAGACCAGAGAGAGCUAGCUUGUCCCCACUUUCCCUGGCAUAGCAUAUACUUUAUCAGGAAAAAGUAGCUUCAAAAAGGGAAAGUAAGACAUUUCUGUGGGAAGAUAAUUUAGUUAGAAUUGUCUGACCAAGUCUGCCUGGUCCCCACAGUGCGGAACCACACCACAACUUUAGAACAAAAAGCAAAGAAAAAACUCACUCAAAUUGCAACUGCUGUAUUUUUUGAAAUAGAAGGAAUUUCUGAAGGCAGAGAACUCAUUACUGGGGUCAGAAGUUGUCCAUUAUCUUAAGAUUAACACCUUUGAAAUGGGAAAUAUAUAUCCCUAGACAGAUUAUGAUCAUAGAUGGUAGAGCUUUGAUUUUGUGUCUCCUGCAGUAAUGAUGCGUUUGAUCCGGGAGCCAGUGACUUUGCACAGUAACAAGCAAGAAUGAGACUUCAGGCUUUCAGCUCAUGUGGUCCUCAGGCAUUUUGUGACUGUGGUACUUUAAUCUGAGGCAAAAGAGGCCGCGAUAACUACAGUUUUGGAGUAGACUGUGAGCAGCUAACAAGAACAACGUUAUUUCACUGAUAUCAUGGCACUUACCUUCUUUGUAUCACUCAAAGCAUGCAAAGAGAUGUAAAUCUGUCCUAAAUAAUCCAUUAAAUCCUCAGCUACUGGUUCUUCAACGCCCCUUUUGCCAGAAACAGCUAAAAAAAUGGUCUCAGCUGCAUAAUACUGUCUAGGACUCCUUCCUGUAAGCCAAGUCUGAAGAAGCAAGUGGGAGUGAAGAACUGGCUCUGGUCAUUCUUACUGCCUCUCCUUCAUUUGAAUCUAGACUGCAUUCAGCUGCAAAUUUAAUGUUUUCUUUCCAUGUUAAUAUUCCAUUGCAGUCAUGAACUCUUCAGGGGAGGUGUUGCUUCUGCCUGAGAGCCCAGCACCUACCACAGCAGGUUCCUGGCCACUGGGCACUACCACAUAGAGUAGUACGUACCACCAGACAUCCAGAUGUGGGCACAGCCAUACUGUGAAUAAUGGUGAUAGCAAAAUGAGAACCAGAAGGAAAAACUAUUUUAAUGCUGCAAGUAAUCAUAGCGCAUGUAGGGAGAAUGCGUGGAACAGUAAAAGCCACACUACCUUGCUGUCUGCUAGCUGUCACUGUGAAGCCAUGCUGUCUUGAAUGUUACCAAGACUUUUUAUCCAGUUAGCAAAUCGCUGAGUGAAUGCAGGUUAUGCUGAAAGAACCUUGGGCCGGAUGGUUGAAGCCACUCCUUUCUCUAUCAACCAGCUGCAGAAAGAGCCAGCACAGAUUGGCAAAGUGCCUUCUGCAUAAUCUCUGCUGUUAAGAUGUCACUGGAAGGACAAAUAGACUGACUUGUAGCUGGUUGCUAUUUGGGUGAGACCAGAAGCUGCCCUUUGUCAUCAUGGGUGCAUUUGGGAUUUUCCGAAGAAUUUAAGAACGCUUGGCUUCCCGCAACCGUCUUGGGAACCCUGGGAAAUCUUUGGCUGCAACAUAUGUCAGGGCUUCAUUCUGGUCCUGUUCCAACACGGGCUUGAGACUGCAGGGCUGAAGCACAGAAGCCCCUGAAGCUGUGGCUCUGUGAGAGGUGGCAGGACUCCUUACAGCCUUCCACUUAACUCCAGCAAAACCCACAGAGAAAUGAUUGUUUGCUGAGCUUGUAAACUCUCAGACAGUGAAAGGGAGCUUUUAAAAUGAUCCCAUGCCUUUGUUUCUUCUCGGGUUCCCCAUGGCUCCAUCUCAGCCACAUGGCGCAGGUGAUGGGCAGGCUCCAUCUUUCACCCCCUCUGCCCUCGCUGUUUGCUUAAAGAGACCAAUGCCGGUGGCCUGCAGCAAUGCAGCCAUUGGGUUUUGGAGCUGCUCUUCUCUGGUGCUUGUGUUCUGAGAGCACAGACCCUCCUGGCGACAGGACAGGCUCAGCCAAAGGGCUCUCGCUGACAGCUUUCCAUCCCCCCAGUAUCUGUGUUUCCUCACUCUCUUUUUAUAAAUCUUAGACUUCGAAGGAGAGUUUAUACACAGUGUGAGGAGUGUCAGUUGUUACACUAUAAGCCUUAAUAAAUAGUAUUAUCUCACGGUGAUAAGACCAGUGUUUCUGAUAAGUUCAUGGCGACAGACACGAGAAGUCUCAUAAAACAGUUAUACACCAAGGCUUUCUUGGAGCUCCAAGCCAGAGGACCCUGCUGCCAAGGUGCCACCCGUUUGAACCACCAGCUAUGCCACUGUGACACUCAUCAUCAGGGGCUUAUUUUAUACAGUUAUUGUCUCCCAUGGCCUAAUUUCACAUCUCUGUAACCCUGCAGUCUUCACCUGAGACGAUGAAAAGGUCUACGCCACCUAAGGACUGUACCUCUGUAUCAUCAAGCAUUCAGUCCUGGAAGAGAUGGUCCUAUUUGAAGUGUUAUAUUUUCCAACUUCCACUCAUUUGCAAGACAGCCCCAUCACGUUACUUUACAUUUUGUCCCUCUAACGACUUUUAAACAUGGGACAACGUGAGGUCCAGCUGCAUGGGCUGUUCUUCUUCAGCUCGUGUUUGGAAGUCUUCCUGAGCUCUUUAAAAUGUUGUUAAUGAAUAGCAUAUAACAUUUUAUGUGCAGUCUCGCUUUUAUAAGACAGGUUGGGAUGUUCCUAAGUUUGCAGUCUUUCUUACAGUGCCAGUAUUCGUAGAGGAGGAGGCAGAUUUAAUCUUUGCAAAGAGGACUUUCAGGCUUCUAACGACCUGGAGCUGUAACUAUGUGGAGAGAGAGGCUUGAUGGUGUCCUGGAGCACUUAUCUGCAAACUUAUCAAAACUCAACUAGCUGAUCAGUUCCAAAAUGCCCAAAUGCUCCAGCAUCCACCCAGCACAACUUCCUUCUUCUUCAUUUUCAUUAAUCCUGGCUAAAAGGAUGCACAUACCACACUGGAUUCACUCACAGGACUAUUACUGCUUUCUGUCAAACUGCUGGCCACAGGGAGGGACCCUGCAGGCAGUUUCUGUUAAGAAGAAAAGCUAACAAUAAACAGGUUUUUUACUUAAUGCAAUCCCUUUCAUUUACAAAGAAUGUGAAAAGUCUGUUUCUUUUAGAGGAGGAAUAAUGAAACGGGAGUGACAGCAUCUUGGAUCCGGGAACAAAGACAUUAUCCUUCAGCCAAAAGUCUGUACUGGGGUGGGGGAAUUUUCCUCCUGUGAAGACGUCUAUGUUUGUCUGCGCUUACUUGCUAUCUUUUUUCUCUGCUAUGUCUGCACAUCUUUCACAUUUGCAAAAACCACCAGCGAUAGCAGAGGAACGCUCUGCCUUUGUUAUGAGCUGCUCCCUUCCAGAAGGGAGCCUAAGCCUUGCUGCGACGACGAGAAAAGGAUAUGUCUGAUCACUUAUUUAUUCUUGUAACGGCUCUGAAGGCCUCAGGACACAGACAAGAAAUGAUUGUAGCUCUAAUUUUUGAUUAGGCUCUCAAAAACUGUAUGUCAACCUUGGCCAGACGAGCUCUUUUACCAGUCUGAGACAGAGGCUGCAAAUAUCAUGAUGCUGGUGAGGAGUGAUCGCUUUGAGUUCAGUUUACCUUUAGUAAAAUCACUGUAAAAGCAUAAGCAGGCGACACCUGUGGACCACAGAGGGUGGUGGCAAGGAGAGGUGGGAUGUGUCCAGUGGCAGCACCAGCAGGGAGCACCUGAGGACAGAGGGAUCAGUAGAUGCAGGGUGCAUGAAGCACUGCAGGACAGUGUGAAGCACGUGGCACUGCUGAUCUGCUGACUUUUAGUAGCCAACAGAGUUGAAUAUUAUUUCCUAGGCUUGUUAAACAGAGACAGGGAGGUUUAGGUUAGAUAUUAGGAGGAAGUUUUUCGCACAGAGGGUGGUACACACUGUAACAGGUUGCCCAAGGAGGUUGUGGAUGCCCCAUCCCUGGAGGCAUUCAAGGCCAGGCUGGAUGUGGCUCUGGGCAGCCUGGUCUGGUGGUUGGCAACCCUGCACAUAGCAGGGGGGUUGAAACUGGAUGAUCACUGUGGUCCUUUUCAACCCAGGCCAUUCUGUGAUUCUAUGAUUCUAUGAUUUUCUGCAGGUCUUCCUCAAGAAAUGACAGGUAGAGGUGGGGCAGUUGCUUUGUGAGAUGUUCUCUCGCUGAAGAUUGAUCUGGCAGAGGUCAUCCUGCUGAGCACUGCUCUGGGUCUCUGCAGCACAUUGCAGCUGAAGUCAUCCACUCCAGUUCUGCAGUAAGGAAAAGUGGUAAAAAGUCAUCCCAAGUACAGCCAUGUGAAUUUUCUUGUGAUUUUCCUUUCCUCGUUUCGUCCUGUCUGAUAAACUUUUCCAGCCCUUCUGAAUGUUUUCUGACGGAUGGAAAAACACACCACUGAUUCCCUUCAGGACGUCUUAGAUGGCUCACAGAUGUGCACUGGAAAGUCUCUCACUGGAAAUUAAAAGGUAGCAUGCUGAAUCUUGAAUGCAAACGAUCUUCAUUGAGUUAGGUUAUUGCUCACAAAAGCAGACUGAAAAGAGAUUUCACUGGAUCUUGCUGCUUUGGUUUCCCUUUUCCCUGGAUUUUCUUAAAACUGCCUCCCACUUCUUGCGCAAACCCCAAAUAGGACUUUUACAAUAACAUCACAGCUCAGCUGGCAACCUUCCCCAGAACAAGUCUUUCCUCAUCCCAUGUUUUUUCAGCCUUUUGCUAAACUCAGUGGAACUUUC
ensembl:lncRNA